UACAGAGGAGCCAAGCGUUGUCCGGAUUGACUGGGCGUAAAGCGCACGCAGGCGGAUGCGCGCGUGGGGUGUGAAAUCUGGCCGCUUAACGGCCAGGCGCCAUCCCAUACGGCGCGUCUGGAGUGAUGCAGAGGUCGAUGGAAUUGCCGGUGUAGUGGUGAAAUGCGUAGAGAUCGGGCAGGAACACCCAGGGGGAAACCAGUCGACUGGGCAUCUACUGACGCUGAGGUGCGAGAGCGUGGGGAGCGGAACCGG
rnacentral:rRNA from 1 species